rnacentral:rRNA from 1 species
GCAUGGAAUAAUAAAUAGGACGUGUGGUUCUAUUUUGUUGGUUUCUAGGACCGCCGUAAUGAUUAAUAGGGACAGUCGGGGGCAUCAGUAUUCAAUUGUCAGAGGUGAAAUUCUUGGAUUUAUUGAAGACUAACUACUGCGAAAGCAUUUGCCAAGGAUGUUUUCAUUAAUCAGGAACGAAAGUUAGGGGAUCGAAGACGAUCAGAUACCGUUGUAGUCUUAACCAUAAACUAUGCCGACUAGGGAUCGGACGAUGUUAUUUUUUGACUCGUUCGGCACCUUACGAGAAAUCAAAGUGCUUGGGCUCCAGGGGGAGUAUGGUCGCAAGGCUGAAACUUAAAGAAAUUGACGGAAGGGCACCACCAGGGGUGGAGCCUGCGGCUUAAUUUGACUCAACACGGGGAAACUCACCAGGUCCAGACACAAUGAGGAUUGACAGAUUGAGAGCUCUUUCUUGAUUCUGUGGGUGGUGGUGCAUGGCCGUUCUUAGUUGGUGGAGUGAUUUGUCUGCUUAAUUGCGAUAACGAACGAGACCUUAACCUGCUAAAUAGCCCGUACUGCUUUGGCAGUUCGCCGGCUUCUUAGAGGGACUAUCGGCUCAAGCCGAUGGAAGUUUGAGGCAAUAACAGGUCUGUGAUGCCCUUAGAUGUCCUGGGCCGCACGCGCGUUACACUGACAGGGCCAGCGAGUACCUCCUUGACCGAAAGGUCCGGGU